GGUAUCCCUUCUUUUUUUAAUUCCCACAAGAGCUUAGGAUUGGUUAAACAGAGCAAAUUGAAACUUUGAAUGUUCCCCUCAUGCAGGGAACAAUGCUGAUCGAUUCCUGCAUUGGAGCACUAGGUUCCAAAUUGUUCUAGGCGUGGAAAGGGGAUUGCAGUACCUUCAUGAGGAUUCACAUCUAAGAAUUGUUCACCGAGACAUCAAAGCAAGCAACAUUCUUCUUGAUCAUAAGUUUCAUCCCAAGAUUGGAGACUUUGGCCUUGCCAGGUUCUUCCCUGAAGACCAAGCUUAUCUUAGCACACAAUUCGCUGGAACAUUCGCCAAAAGGGCUGUUUUCGCCGGAGCCAGAACAUUAUCGAGGACCAAAGCUAAAAGUUGCCAUCAUUGGAGCUGGGCUUUCUGGCAUGUCAACUACAGUGGAACUCUUAGAUCAAGGACACGAGUCCCAGAAAAAUACACAGGUGUUGCAGAAGCUGAUUUUCUGGUAUUUCUUAUUA